rnacentral:rRNA from 1 species
UACGAAGGGUGCAAGCGUUAAUCGGAAUUACUGGGCGUAAAGCGCGCGUAGGUGGUUCGUUAAGUUGGAUGUGAAAGCCCCGGGCUCAACCUGGGAACUGCAUCCAAAACUGGCGAGCUAGAGUAUGGCAGAGGGUGGUAGAAUUUCCAGUGUAGCGGUGAAAUGCGUAGAUAUUGGAAGGAAUACCGGUGGCGAAGGCGGCCUUCUGGACUGACACUGACACUGAGGUGCGAAAGCGUGGGUAGCAAACAGG